GUAUUGUAUUGCGUUAAACGCGACAUGCAUUCCAUGAGACUUUAUUACAGUGUGUGUGUAAAGACAUAGAACCACAGCAAGAGGACAGAGUCCCCCAAGCCACAGAACUACAGAGGGUGCACAGGUGUGAGUGGAUGUGCAAACAGAGCGUGCACAUGCCCCCAUACAGGGGCCAGCAACAACCCUUGUUGACAAUUCGGUAAUGAUCCUUCCGCAGGUUCACCUACGGAAA
rnacentral:misc_RNA from 1 species